UGAACGCUGGCGGCAGGCCUAACACAUGCAAGUCGAGCGGAUGAAGGGAGCUUGCUCCUGGAUUCAGCGGCGGACGGGUGAGUAAUGCCUAGGAAUCUGUCUGGUAGUGGGGGAUAACGUCCGGAAACGGGCGCUAAUACCGCAUACGUCCUGAGGGAGAAAGUGGGGGAUCUUCGGACCUCACGCUAUCAGAUGAGCCUAGGUCGGAUUAGCUAGUUGGUGGGGUAAAGGCCUACCAAGGCGACGAUCCGUAACUGGUCUGAGAGGAUGAUCAGUCACACUGGAACUGAGACACGGUCCAGACUCCUACGGGAGGCAGCAGUGGGGAAUAUUGGACAAUGGGCGAAAGCCUGAUCCAGCCAUGCCGCGUGUGUGAAGAAGGUCUUCGGAUUGUAAAGCACUUUAAGUUGGGAAGAAGAGCAGUAAGUUAAUACCUUGCUGUUUUGACGUUACCAACAGAGUAAGCACCGGCUAACUUCGUG
rnacentral:rRNA from 1 species